CAACAUGGGCGGUAUUAUGCAGAAUGGUAUUACGCAUGUGCUUCUUCCGCUAUACGCCAUGGACAGACUGUUGUGUGUUUUUAUUAGUAAACGUUAAAGAUCAAACGGUAAUUCUGAUUAAUAAAUAUUUAAUCAGGGUUGGAAUGAGCGUCAUAGGAUUAAUAUCUGGAUUUGAAUUCUCAUCUAGCAAAGCUCCUGUUGAUAAAACUACCCGUUAACGCGAACCAGCUGUAGCUUCAUAGCUAGUAUGUGCUUUUAGCAACGCGGGUGUAGAUACACUAGCGUAGCCCUUGAUCAUGCACUUCCAUUAAAUUACACAUAAAUCAUUGAACGUAGGGGGUGUUUUGAAUGAACAUUAAUAGGCAUCGCUUGCUGUACGGUUUUGGAAGCAUAAGGACCUUUCCUAUUGGUGAUUCUGCUUGUUCGCAGAAAACAUACGGAAGCGUACUACCUGUACUAAUUAGCUAUCUGCGUCUCUGAACACCUGUGUGUAAACGGAAGACAGACGCAACAAACGUGUUGUCACAGAAAAGUACUGUCUGCUGUACCAGUGUUAAGACAGUGCUGCACAGUAGGUUGGUGGCACCUUAAUUGGUAAUGGGUGGUGUGGAAUAUUAUCAAAUACGUCAAACUUGUUUGAUGCCAUUCGCUCCGUUUCACACAUGAUUAUGAGCCGUACUCCCCUCAGCAGCCUCCACUGCUGAGUAUCAUCAUGUCCAGGGUGCCGAUGGGCAAGGUGCUGCUGCUGCUAAAUGUUAUUCGUCACACAGAUGCCCACAAGAGUGUAGAGGUCCUGAGAGGAGCCUUUCCAAAUAAUGACAUUGCGUUGUCUCAGACGGAGUCACAUGCACUGUGAUCGUGUGGAGGAUGGGUCUGUAGACAGACUGGGAGAAGAGAACACGUUUCRAGCCAGGACAAGAGGGAGGCACGCUACUGGACCAAGAGACUCUAUGACUUUGAGGCCAAUGAUCCAGACAGGUGCAUCUUUUUCUGUUUACAACUCUAGUAUUAUAGCCUUGUGAGUUCAUAAGUUUGAGUUGACAAACGGCGACAUGCUAUGAAAGGUGAAUCUCAUUGGUACUGUGCAUGUUUCCUCUACAGAUGGUGACACAGCGGUUUUAAGGAGCUAUACCCAGAGGAGUUUAAAAGGAGAGAGACCGAUGAUCAGAAUGGGCAUUGGAGAAAGUAAAAGUCCAGACUUAAAACAGCCAAAUCAAAACGUCUGAGGAAGUCCUCCAAGAAGAAGAAAGAGGAAAAGCGAAGGACAGGUGAGUCAGACGGUGAGUCCAGCAACGACACGAGCGACAAUGUCAAACAGGAACAGAAGAGGAAAAGCAGCAAGAGGGAGAGAGAGGAGAGCAGCUCAGAGGAGGAUGAUGAUGAUGAUGAUGAGGAGGAGAGAAGGAGGAAAUGAUAGAUGGACUCCCACAGAGACUCAGGACCAGAGUCACACAAGAAGAGGAGGAAAAACUGGAAAGCAGGAGAGGACAAAUCGGAGGACAGUUCUGAGGAUUGAACCUUUUUCCAUUGGCAGCCAGUAACCUGUACCCUCAUACUGCUCAACCCCCUUUCAGUUGCUGAAAGUGAGUGGGCAAAGCUUUCACAGUUACACCCCACUUCCACUUUAGUGCCCAUUGUUUCCCACUAGAUUUGUUGUGAACACAGCAUCACCAUAGCUAGUUGCUAGACAUGUUUGUGAUUUAUCCAAUAACAAGACAACUGAGGAAUUGGCUAAAGUACAAAUACAACUUUUGAACAGACCUACUGGCAGGGGAAAGCAUAUCGUUCUUCCCUUAACUUUCCUCUGCAAUACUCUUCUGUUCUGUACUUCUCUUUCUGUGUACAGCUGAGCACAAACCUGUGUUCUCCCCUAAGGGCAUUCAGCAGUACCUCACCUUCUGUUACUGGCAGUGCUCAAGCUGCAGUGCUCAGAUAGUGAGCUGACACUGCACAAAUAUGGACUAAACGAAAGCCACCUAAUUCCACCUCAUGACAAGCUGAUUGACUGCAGAGCCUUGUCUCAUAGUUAGUGUCCUGGCUCGACUUUAGCUGUUAUACUAUGGAAAAUGAUGACAUUUUAUGCAGAUUUCCCAACCAAUUGUGACAAUCUUUUCUGCAUUUUUUAAUUCAGUAUUUAUUUAUUUUUUAAAUUGUGAUUUAUGGGAGUCGGGAUUUAACGGAAUGUCAGGUGGGACAUUGCAAAAUAAAAUGCAUAUUUAGUUGUUUUCUGAAAAUGUACUCUGGUUAUCACACCAUACUUUUAGACAGGAAGGACAUAUCACAUGGAUCUCAUGUUAUGACUACAGGAUAUCUACAUGACUAUCAUUCACUAGUCUUCUCUGUAGGCCUGUAGCCUUUCUAUUUCAUGAGCAUGAAUUUUACACUUCAUGCAUCCAAUUUUAUGAAAUAUUGCUUCCAUUUGCCCCUUGGGUUGAAUACAUCCAGAACUGGGUACCAUUAACCAUAUAACAUUGUAUAAAUGGUGUACGGUUUCCCUCUAGUGUUAAGUUUCUACAGUACUCGCUGUAGUUUUAAUGUGCAUGAAAAUGGAAUAGGUCAGCACUGAAUGAGAAUCUCUACAUUACUAUAUAAAUACUUUUAAGAGACCUGCUGAAAAAGGUGCUAUCGUCUAAAACAGGUUUGAGCUUCAUAGUUUUAUUCUUACGUCGAGAGCAGGCCACUGCUAUAUGGUAUCUUUUCAAGUUCAUGCCUUUCUCCUUAAUGAUCAUCACGCUGUACAAGGUUAAUUUAUUAUUUAGUGGAAGGGCGGAGGGGGCCUACAGAGUCUAAUAUCCUGUUAUCUAUGGUGCGUUGUCUCCACCUGGUGGCUCAACAGUGUAUAACACCCUGAGGAUUGAUUGACUCAUGGCUGCUUUUGACUUCAUCAGAAUAAAUAAUUUAUUUGUGACAUAUAAAGCAA